AGACAGAGGGUGCAAACGUUGUUCGGAAUUACUGGGCGUUAAAGCGCGUGUAGGCGGCUCGGAAAGUCGGAUGUGAAAGCCCUGGGCUCAACCCAGGAAGUGCACCCGAAACUUUCGAGCUGGAGUCCUGGAGAGGAAGGCGGAAUUCUCGGUGUAGAGGUGAAAUUCGUAGAUAUCGAGAGGAACACCGGUGGCGAAGGCGGCCUUCUGGACAGUGACUGACGCUGAGACGCAAAAGCGUGGGGAGC
rnacentral:rRNA from 1 species